AUUGAACGCUGGCGGCAGGCUUAACACAUGCAAGUCGAGCGGAGUGAUGGUGCUUGCACUAUCACUUAGCGGCGGACGGGUGAGUAAUGCUUAGGAAUCUGCCUAUUAGUGGGGGACAACAUCUCGAAAGGGAUGCUAAUACCGCAUACGUCCUACGGGAGAAAGCAGGGGAUCACUUGUGACCUUGCGCUAAUAGAUGAGCCUAAGUCGGAUUAGCUAGUUGGUGGGGUAAAGGCCUACCAAGGCGGCGAUCUGUAGCGGGUCUGAGAGGAUGAUCCGCCACACUGAGACGGAGACACGGCCCAGACUCCUACGGGAGGCAGCAGUGGGGAAUAUUGGACAAUGGGGGGAACCCUGAUCCAGCCAUGCCGCGUGUGUGAAGAAGGCCUUAUGGUUGUAAAGCACUUUAAGCGAGGAGGAGGCUCUUUUGGUUAAUACCCAAGAUGAGUGGACGUUACUCGCAGAAUAAGCACCGGCUAACUCUGUGCCAGCCGCCGCGGUAA
rnacentral:rRNA from 1 species